AUGUUUCUUGGGUGCUCAAGAGGUACUGUAGGUAUUUUCAAUAAUAAGCCUGGUAAGCUGCCAGAUUUAGUAGCUGAAAGUAUUGUGUUUUCUCUCAGCUCUCUGAUGAUUUACCUCCUGUGGGAUUUUUCAUGUAUUUUGGUUGCUAGUUUUGCCGGGUGUUGCCCGUCUUGUCAGGCUUUUCUGUGUGCAUUCUUUGGGAUACAGUUGGUGAGGAAUGCACUGGCAAUGUGGAGAGGCCAGUCCUCUGCAGUGUUCAUUGUUGGUUAUCUGUUAUACACUCUGUCAGAGGGUUCCAGAAUGGUUUGCAGUGUGUUCUGUGAAUGGUUUUAAUAGAAAAAGGUAUUUCCCCUUUGUGUUUACAGCCCUCUGUCUCCUUAGAACCUAGAUUUGAAUUCACAGUAGUCUUAGCUAAAAAUCCUGACCAGUCUCAAAAACUAUGGUACAUUCACAAUUACUCAUCUCCUCUGAGCACCAAGACUUUGUUUCAAGAUCAAGCUACCUAAUCUUCUCUUUGCUCAAGAUAAUAAGUUUACUUCCAGGAGUCUUCUCAGUCUUCCAUGUAAAUAGAUUUCUAGUGGUGGUUUUCUUGUUCUUUCAAAAAUUGCUCAGCUGUGUUUGAAUGCCAGUGAUGAAAGCAGCUUAGACUGUACAUUUAGGAAAUAGUUGGGACUAUUCCCCAACUAUUCACUCAGAGGCAGAUCUGUAUACACACUAUAAAUGACCAUAUUGGCAGAUAAAAACUUUGCUGAACUUAGUUAAUACCUUUUUGAUGUUUAAACAAUUUUUAGUAAGAAUGCCAGUCAUCCUUUGAAAGCCAAACAAUAAAUUGUGCACAGAAUGGUCAAUACAAAGAUAAUGUACUCAGUUGCUGUUUGUACUUAAACAUUAGCCAGUUGUCAACAAAUUGAUAUCUAGGCACUCCCUGAAACAGGCCUUUGUUACUAACUCAGAUAAGGCAUUUUGAUCUCUUUUUUUUUUUUUCCAAUUGUGCCACUCCCCAUUCCACAAGAGAGCAUGGCUUUAUAGGAAAAGAUGCACAGCCUUUUAUACACCAUCAGGUAGUUUGCUCUCUAAUGGGGAAGUCAAGGCAAUUAUAUAAAAUGACUAAACAAUGCGGAGGUGGUGGUGGUGGUUUAGUCACUAAGUCGUGUUCGACUCUUGUGACCCCAUGGACUGUAGCCCGCCAGGCUCCUCUGUCCAUGNNNNNNNNNNNNNNNNNNNNNNNNNNNNNNNNNNNNNNNNNNNNNNNNNNNNNNNNNNNNNNNNNNNNNNNNNNNNCCCAGGUCUCCUGCAUUGCAGGCAGAUUCUUUACCAACUGAACUAUGAGGAAAGCCCUAAACAAUACGAGGUAAGUAAUACUAAAACACAGGGAAAGACUAAAUACUAUAAAGUAUACCAUGUACCUUAAAAGGAAUGCCAAUAAAUUCUUUUAGAGUCUUCAAAGAUGAGCAAGAUAACAUCAGAAACUGUAAAAGAUUAUAUACAAAGAAACAGCAUUUAAGUUAACGGCAUACUUUUCUACAUUAAUAAGACACAUCUGAAGAUAAAGGAAUAAUAUUUUGAAAGCGCCAAUAGAAAAUAGCUAUAACUCAGAAUGCCAUAUACCCAGCGAAGCUCUUAUUUAGAAGUGUGGGCUUAAAAAAAUACUUUCAGACAAAAAAGUGUGGGAAUUUACCACUCAUCUUGGAGAAUCAUAAUAAAAGUUGUAAGAGGUACAGGAAGAAGGAGUCUCUUAAACCUCAAAGGAAAAGAGUAGAUGGCAAGAAGAAAUGGUGCAUAAAGAA
rnacentral:lncRNA from 1 species